GUGGAAGUAGUUCAGUGGUAGAGCGUCAGAUUGUGGAUCUGAUUGUCGAGGGUUCGAACCCCUUCUUCCACC
rnacentral:tRNA from 1 species